rnacentral:lncRNA from 1 species
AAUCGUCCUAUUGAACCAGGAAAACAUAAGGUCAUGGUGUUCACUAGACCCACUUGGCGGCAGGGAUUCCAGCAAAUUUAAAAAAAAAAACAAUAAAACCAGCAAACAGAUGCAGGAAAGGUGAGUGGAUAUGGUUUUAUUCAUAUUCUUUGAUUCCUUCCCUCUAAGCUUCUUGAGAAAGCAUGUGAAUAUGACAACUAACACAUAAGAUAAUAAGAAGUGUUGAAUGUGCUGCAGGCAAUGUUCUGAACAUUCAUAGCAACAACCUGAGUUGACUCAUCCCUGGGUAACAACAACUGGAGCCUAAUUUCUGAGUUUCUCUCGCCUCGGAGAGUUAAAGCAAUAUAAACCUAAAGUACUACACUAAUCAGGACCAGAAUGACAUAACAUGUAGGAAGAAUGCUCCUUUCUAUAUGCUUUGACACUCUGAGCAUGUUCUCAAUUAUCUUCUAAUAGACAUCUGCCACUUACCAGAACAGAGUAGCAAUAUUAUAAGUCUCUCUGACUUCAAGUUCCUAGUAAUGAAGAUUUUCUAUAAAAAAAAGUUCCAAACAAUGGAGAGCAGGGAAAUUAACAGAUAGAAUGAAAAAGGGGGACAUAAGGGGCAUUGAUGAAGAUUGGAUUUAGCUUCUACACAACUACAGUAUCUCCAGGCAUGACUCCUUGUGAAAAUAUCCAUGAAGUAUGCUUUCCCAAUAACUAUAGGUAGAACUUUAGUUUUUCUUUAAGAAAAUUGUUUGACUGGAGUAUAGAGGUCAUGAUCUAGAGUUGCAAAGACAAGAGCUAAGCUCCACAAAUUGGAAUCAUAGUAGGAGGACCAGGUGCCUUUUUUAUUCUUAUUUUCUUGGCAGCAUCUCUAGUUUUACCAAAACGCAAUUUGUGAUUUCCGAUAGUCUACAGAACACACAAAAAAAAGGGUUUCUUGCAUGUGUGUUGAAAAUUUGACUAAACUAUUCAAAGCUCAUGAAUUAUGCUCUCACUUUAGCAACCUUUGGCAACUAGAUAAUUUGUCACGCCCCAAAUCCGAAUCAUGACCGGCCGUGCUAUUGCAAUCUUAUGCACACAAUAACACAAAGCCACUUAAAAUUUCAUAAUAAAAAUAAAUAGUUUCAUUUACUAAUGUCAUAACAUUAUUGAUGAAGUUGGAACAAUACAGAGCUUCUAAAAUUUGAUUAUUACAUAACAUUUUCUACUUCCUACUCCGAAUAGGGUGCUGCCUGCCGAUGUUCUUAAAGCCCUUUCUUUUACAAAGAAGUGAGACGCAUAUACAAAAACUUCGUAUAGGAAUAUUUAAAUGUUCCUCUUAUUCUACAGUUACCCCAACCCUGAAUAACAUCAAGCUCCCUACUCCUAGUGGUCUUAUUCAUCUGUAGAAAAAAGUAGAUAAAAAGAUAUGAGCUACACAGCUCAGUAAGUAACCAAGUACUAUCUUAUUGGAUCAAGCAUAAUUAUGCCAAUGCAGUGUUUAAGAAGCUAACAGUUAUGGCAAAAUAAAGCAUUUUAUAGAUGAUAUACACAAAUCAGGUCAUAAAGCAAUGCAUGUUCUAUCAAUGAAAGUUCAUAAAUAUGAAUAUGCAUCAUAUAAAAUUCUUGCCAUUAUUCAUGCUUUGAAAUCCAUACUUAUCAUUAUUCAUGCUUCGAAAAUCGUGCUCUCAGAUGGUAGUGCAGCUAUGGUCACUGUUAUUACCCGCGACAGGGCCGUAAUAUUUACCAACUACUAUUACCCGUUGGCGGGGCCAUAUGCCGAGCUAUUAUAACCCGCUGGCGAGGGUUAUAAUCUUUGCCAACUAUUAUUCCCCAUUGGUAGGGUCUACACCAAGCUAUUAUAACCCGCUGGCGAGGGUCGUAUGCUGAGCUAUUAUAAUCCGCUAGCGAGGGCCGUUUGCCGAGCUAUUAUAACCAGCUGGCGAGGGCCGUAUAUAGCAAUCUGAGAGUUUAUAAAUUAUUAUUCUUUUUCUUUCAUAAAUCAUAAUCAUCAUAAAUAGGUAGAAAAAUGAUAAAUGGCAUCAUAUAAUUUAAAAUGCAUAAACAUGCCUCAAAUAUCAUUUUUCAUGCAGUCUAACAUAAUCAUAAUUUCAUAGCUCAUACACCAUCAAAUAUUCAUGAAGGAUGCUCUUUAAUCAAAUUCAUGGAUCAUAUGCAAUCAUAUACUUGAUCCUAAUUUUGAGAAAAUACAUCAUAUCAAAUACAAUUUCAUAAUUUCAUACUUACAAUUAAACAGUAAUUUGAAAUCAAUAAGAUUGUGCCAGGGUUACUUACAGCAAUUUGCUUUCCAAUUCCUAGGUUUAUGUGCUAAUUCUUCAAUUACCAAUCAUCAUCAUCAAAUUACCUGUUAAUUGCAUGUUCAAUUUCAUUUAUUUACAUUCUUUCUUAAUUAAUCCGUUUACAUCCCAACUAUAGAACUCAAUUUCAUUCUUAGGUCCCUACCCUAGUUCAGGUCUAGGUCAGCUUCUGGUUCAGACCUGAUUUAAUAUUUGAUUCAGGUCUGAUUCAGUUUCUGGCACAAGUCUGAGCCAAUUUCAUCUUCUGGUUUGGACCCAAUAGCCUUCUAUUAAGGUUUGUGCACUUUAUGCCCAAUUUGUUUUGAGUUCACAACUACUUAGCUUGAU